rnacentral:piRNA from 1 species
UAAUCUGCUGUUUCCUCUACCACAUUAGA